rnacentral:rRNA from 1 species
GAUGAACGCUGGCGGGAGGCCUAAUACAUGCAAGUCGAGUGCAAGUUAUGUUGCACGGCGAACGGCUGAGUAACACGUUGGUACCUACCCCGAACUCAGGGAUAACCACUGGAAACGGUGGAUAAUACCGGAUAGCUGGAAACAGUAAAGAUUUAUCGGUUCGGGAGGGGCCUGCGGAGUAUCAGUUUGUUGGUGAGGUAACGGCUCACCAAGACUAUGACGCUUACCAGGUGUGAGAGCAUGACCUGGCAGAGUGGGACUGAGACACGGCCCACACUUCUACGGAAGGCAGCAGUAAGGAAUCUUCCACAAUGGGCGAAAGCCUGAUGGAGCCAUCCCGCGUGUUUGAUGACACCCUUCGGGGCGUAAAGAACUUUUCUGAAGGAAGAAAUUUUGACGGUACUUCAGGAAUAAGAGACGGCUAACUCCG